rnacentral:lncRNA from 10 species
UGGGAUUCGAACGGCAGGCGGGAAGUGCUCUAGCAGGGGAGUCUGACCUUGUGAGGGAAUACCUGUGUCCCCCCUUUUUUCCCCUUUUUACCCAAUAAAACCCUGCCUUACUCACCCUUUAAAUCAUCUGCGAGCCUGAAUUUUCAUGGCCGUGGGACGGACAAGAACUUUAUCUUCAGCUGAACUAAGAAAAAGUCCUGCAACAUUUUUGGCGCGCAAUGUGGGGGCACCAGAAGCGGGCACCGUUGAGCUGUUGCAACUGUUCUGCUGGAGCCUUAUGUAUGUGGUUGAAACCACCUGUACUACUGGAAUGAAAGCACCUUUACAGAAGAGGCAAUGCAAGUUGUAUUCAUCACAUGUGUAGAAUGAAUUAAGAUUUAUGCCAGUUGCAAAGAAGAAUAUUGGCUCACUAUUUUUCCUCUGGGCAUGUGGAAAUGUAAAUCAGUCCAUGUUACUCACCUCGGAGAAGCAGAAGUACGAUUUACUAUUGUUGCUUGCUUACUUACUCUUAUCAAUUUCUAUGAGAGCAUAUGAUCCCCUGUUGAAGACAGACAAGUACAUCUUUCUGGUGGCUCCUAGACCUGGC